UAAGCAGCAGCAUGUUGUCUGCAUGAGUGAAAUGUCGAACUGAAGGAGCAGCUGAAGUGUUAUAAAGCCAUCCAGGUGGAGAAAGCGUGAGCAUCUGGGGGGAGGAAAUGACUCAUGGCUCAUCCAAUGGGAGGUCUUCAGCUCAUUGCCGGGGAGUGCGUAUUUGUGUAUGUAAAUUCACUGAUUCAUCAUUUUGUAUCAAGUCCUUUAGUGAUGGCAUGCCUGUGGUGAAAAAAGGAACAAUAAAUGGAGGACAGCUUCUGGUGGGAGAGGAAACAAUGGACUCAGGCUGCACAGAAUAGUCACACGGACACUCGGUUUUCAACGUGAUUGCUACGUAAGUGUCUUGGACAUCCUCCUGGUUUUCCUUCCUCAGUGAAAGCCUGUGGGGAUGUCAUGAAGGCUGAGAGAUGGGGACAGGAAGGCAGCUGUGGUUCUCAGCACUUGAAAGAAAGUGUGCCGCUCAGGUUGCAGCCAGCUUUUUGUAAGGGCUGCCCGCAGUCAUUAG
rnacentral:lncRNA from 1 species